rnacentral:snoRNA from 1 species
AUUCCAUGAUGGGGACAUUCUAGGAUGUAGUCUUGGAAGCGCUCCCAUGCUUCUGGAACGGAUUCAUCAUGUUGUUGCUGAAAACUUAUAAUUUUUCCACGGAGGGC